UUCUUUAUACAAUGUAAAUGUGAAGCUUUCUUUUCCUUUUUUUUUUUUUUUUGGACAAAGAAUAAAUUCUUCUCUUACAACCACAGCCUCUUCAAACUAAGUUAUCCUUCAAGUGCCAGACUUAAAGAUGAUCUGCUAUGGAAGGAAUCAUGUCAGUAUAAGCUUGCAGUAAUAAAAAUCUCCCUGCUCUCUAACUUAAAGCUCCUUUGUUCCUGCGAGGUACCAAUGUCGCUAAGCUGUUCUGAAGAAUCAUGUAAUAAUCAAGUUUAUUUGGUCACCAAGUCAACAUGGUAAGAAUGAUUUUUUGUGUGGGAUUCGAUUGGUGAGAGAGGUGCUCAAAAUAAUGAAAAACUAUUCUGACAAAACAUGGUCCACUGGAGAAGGGAAUGGCAAACCACUUCACUAUUCUUGCCUUGAGAACCCCAUGAACAGUAUGAAAAGGCAAAAACACAGGACACUGAAAGAUGAACUGCCCAGGUUGUAGGUGCCCAGUAUGCUAUGGAGAAGAGUGGAGAAUAACUCCAGAAAGAAUGAAGAGAUGGAGCCGAAGUGAAAACAACACCCAGCUGUGGAUGUGACUGGUGAUGGAAGUAAAGUCCAAUGCUGUAAAGAGCAAUAUUGCAUAGGAACCUGGAAUGUUAGGUCCAUGAAUCAAGGCAAAUCAGAAGUGGCCAAACAGGAGAUGGCAAGAGUGAAAAUCAACAUUUUAGGAAUCAGUGAACUAAAAUGGACUGGAAUGGGUGAAUUUAACUCAGAUGACCAUUAUAUCUACUACUGCGGGUAAGAAUCCCUUAGAAGAAAUGGAGUAGUCAUCAUGGUCAACAAAAGAGUCUGAAAUGCAGCACUUGGAUGCUAUCUCAAAAACGACAGAAUGAUCUCUGUUCGUUUCAAUACCACAGGAAUCUAAGUCUAUGCCCUGACCAGUAAUGCUGAAGAAGCUGAAGUUGAACGGUUCUAUGAAGACCUGCAAGACCUUCUAGAAUUAACACCCAAAAAAGAUGUCCUUUUCAUUUUAGGGGACUGGAAUGUAAAGGUAGGAAGUCAAGAAACACCUGGAGUAACAGGCAAAUUUGGCCUUGGAGUACAGAAUGAAGGCGGGCAAAGGCUAAUAAGAGUUCUGCCAAGAGAAUGCACUGAUCAUAGCAAAUACCCUCUUCUAAGAAUACAUGAGAAGCCU
rnacentral:lncRNA from 1 species